AAGUCGUAACAAGGUUUCCGUAGGUGAACCUGCGGAAGGAUCAUUAUUGAAUAAACCUGAUGGGUUGCUGCUGGUUCCCUAAAGAACAUGUGCACACUUGUCAUCUUUAUAUCUCCACCUGUGCACUUUCUGUAGACCUGGAUAUUUUUCUUAAUGCUUAGCAUUAAGGUUUGAGGAUUGACCUUUUGGUCUCUUCUUACAUUUCCAGGCCUAUGUUUAUUCAUAUACCCCAAUGUAUGUUAUAGAAUGUAAUAUUGGGCCUUUGUGCCUAUAAAACUAUACAACUUUCAGCAACGGAUCUCUUGGCUCUC
rnacentral:misc_RNA from 1 species